CAUGCUUGAUGACCCACAAUCCCCCUCUUUCUUGCGGAUAACGAAGACCAGCACGUAGAACAAUCCAACUUCAGCUAACGUAGCCAACAGCGUCUCCAACAUGGAAAGACACGAUAAUUCAGGCUAAAAGGGGAGACAUAGAAAAGAAAAUAUGGUAAUAUCUGGGCUCUAAACUGUAUGUGUAUAUUGACAGUCAAUUACUCUGUUAAAUCAAGCCCACCCCUUACCCUUAAACAUCUAGGAUAUCAAGUGGAAGCAUAAACGCAAUUCAACAACACAAAAAAUGUCAGAAAAAUGAAACAGUGGAACCAAAACUCAAAAUAGAGAAACUUACCAGAUUCAUCCACCAUACCAGUUCACUUUCCAAACCCAACCGGGUGUCUUUAAUAAAAUCAUGACUUUACGUCAUGUUAAUAGUAAAAUCUGGGAAUUUUAUUAAAGACACGGCGGCUCCUAGUAUGCUAGUUUGAAGCUUAGAAACCACCUGAGAUGCAAAAUGUUCGACCGGCUUAAAGUAGAAGUCACGAAAAGUCGAUUCCCGCGACCAAUCUGCCGCACGUAGGAUAUCCUCCAAGCGACAACCCAUUGCCGAGGCCUUGGAGACCUGAAUGAGGGGUAAAUCUGGACUUGUCGAUCCCGACCAAUGCCAAUAACUCCCGCACCCACCUCGCCAACGUAGGGGUAGAUACCGGUAGGUGUGGGGUGCGAAACGAAAUGAACAAUGGGCACAAAUCUGGAGAGCGCAAAGCUCGAGUAGCCUCAAGAUAAGCUUUCAGGCACUCUACUGGAUAUACAAACACCUUGGAAGCUGGCUUCGUCCUUCUGGAUAUAUUAAAGGAGAUGCCUUCCGGGGUAAACGUAAUGGUAUUCCAAUGCUCUAACAUCCGAAACCCGUUUACAGGAGAUCAAACAUAACAGCAUGACCACGUUAGCCGACAGCUGCUUCAGUGUCAGAUCUUGAUUCGGGUACCAAGAUGAUAAAAAUCGGAGGACCACAUUCACAUCCCAGAAGGCAGUGAACCUCGCACAGGGUGGUCUAGUGAGACAAAUCCCUUUGAGUAAUCGGCAUAUGAAGGGUGAACUGUCUAAACCCUGAUGUCCAGCCGAGAUAGCAGAACGACAUAAGUUAAUGGUGCGAUAAGCCUUCCCAGAUUCAAACAGUACGGUAAGGAAUUCCAUGAUCAUAUGCAAAGGGAGAGAUACAGGACCCACUGUCCGUCCCAUGCACCAACUAGACCAGAUGCGCCAGGCGGAUCAGUAUGCCACUCGAGUACCCGGCGCCCAUGCAUUGUUGAGGAGGUCGAGAGUUGACUGCUGAACUCCUAUGAUAGAUCCAGGUCUCCGGAAAGGGGCCAUGCCAUCAGUUGAAGAAGGCCAUGAUCCACUAACUCGUGUGAGUUGCCAUCCGGAUCCCUCAGGAGAUUCGGGCAGGUUGGUAUCAGUCGUGGGUAAUCUGUGGUCAACUCCAGUAGCCGAGGGAACCAAGGCCGUGACCGCCAAAGGGGUGUGAUCGGUACCAUCGAACAGCCAUUUUGAGUCAUUUUCGAUAACGUGCGAGCUAUCAGAUUUAACGGGGGAAAAGCGUAAAUUCGAGUCUUUGGCCACUCCUGAAGGAAUGCGUCCGUUGCCAUUGCUGCCGGGUCUGGCCUCCAACUGAAGAACUUGGACACUUGUGUGUUAAGAUGAGAAGCGAAGAGGUCCAUUUCGAAUGGGCCCCAUAUUUGACUCAAUCCCUGGAACGCCGCAGCGUGUAAGUGCCAAUCUCCAGAGGCUUUUAAAUAACGUGAAUUCCAAUCGUCCGUCAAAUUGUCCAGACCCGGUAUAUGUUCUGCUUGCACAGAAAUGUUGUUGUGAAGGCAGAACCACCAGAAAUCCUUCGCCAGGAGGGCUAACAUGCGUGAUUUCGUGCCCCCUAGGUGGUUGAUGUAACGCACUGCCGACACGUUGUCCAUCCUGAGCAUCACGCAACAAUUCGCACGUUCUGGUGUAAGGCUGUGAAUAGCGAACGCCCCUGCCAAUAGUUCUAGGCAGUUGAUAUGGAGCGUUUGCUCUUGGUCUGACCAUCUGCCUCCGGUAGAUGCGGUACCACAGCGUGCACCCCAGCCGUGCAAGCUGGCAUCCGAUUCUAUCCACGUCUGGAAUGGAGCCGUAUAUAGCUCUCCUGUUCCAGGCGUCCAUGUGGGCCAACCACCAGUCAGCUCGUCUUUGGACUCCUCGUCCAGUUUCACUCUCAUCUCGUAAGACUGGCCUGCGCGCAGAUGAGAGCCCUUCAGAUGUUGAAGGGCCUGAUAGUGGAGUGGUCCAGGGAAUAUUGCCUGUAUCGAGGCGGCCAACAGGCCGAUCACCCUUGCCAGAUGACGGAGAGAGAGAUCGUCUGCCCGUAAUGUACGCCUGAUUUCUUUCUUGAUGGCCUUCAUUUUCUUUUUCGUCCAAAUAUAUAAUCAGUCGUACUGCACGGCUUCGGAGGAAGGACACCACCGGCUUCAUGACCUUGGUGAAACACCAGGGAGCCGAGGAGAGCCCGAAUGGUAGACAUGUAAACUUCCAUUUUCUUCCCUUCCAGGUGAACUGGAGGAAAUCUCUGUGUUCCUCGGUUAUAGGGACGGUGGAUCCUUCAGGUCCACUUUGGCUAACCAGUAGGAUUCCUGUAGGAGAUCCCGAAGGCAAUGUAUGCCUUCCAUUUAGAAGUGCUGGUAUUGAAGGAAGGCGUUGAGGGGACGGAGGUUGAUGACGGGACGCACACCGCCUCCUUUCUUCGGGACCAAAAAGAGGUUGCUCGUAAACCCUGGCUGAGUGAACGGAACCUCUUGUAUCGCCCCGUUGGCGUAAAGUUCCACGAUCUCCGAGGAGAUCAAUUCUUCUUGAUCUCGAGCGAGAGACAGUUCCCUGGGGAUAGAAAGCUGAACAGGCAUGGAUACAAAGUCUAUAUGAUAACCCUUUACUGUGUGGAGAACUCACGCAUCUGUCGUUAAGGCGGCCCACGCCUUGCCAAUCUGCCUGCCACCCGCUCUUGAACAUAAGGAGAAACAGGGGUACUCACGAUAAGGGCGUCUGCCUGAUGUGGCCCCUCUUGGAUAGUGGGGAUUCCAUGGCCUCCCCCUUGAUGGGAAGAAUGGAGCCGGUCUGGGCUCCUGGAAGGUUCUAGAAGGGAAGAAGGAGCCUCUUUGCGCCAGAAACGAGCCCCUGAAACCACGUCCGUGUGGAUGGCUCCUGUUGCGCCCGGCCCCUCCAAAAACCCUAGGGGAAAACACCCUCUUCAUAUUGGCCUGGGCCUUAUCAAUGGUGGUGAAUGUCUUCACAUAAGAUCCCAAGUCCUUGAUGAAAUUGUCGCCGAACAAUAUUCCCUCGGCCGAGGGUCCUGGUUCUGAUAUGGCCAUGGUAGCCAAUUUCAGGUCAAUCUUGAGCAGGAUAGCUUUCCUGCGCCCGGCAGACACUGCCACAUUGGCAUUGCCGAGCAAACAAAUGACACGUUGAUUUUGCGGACUAUAACAGCUCGUAGGCCUUUGAUAAUGGGCCGAGUGUGUCCAUGAUUUUGUCCUGGCAACUCCUCAGGGAAAAAUCUAAGCCUUUUUUCGGCUUCCAGCCUGAUUUAUUUAGAAACUGUGCGAUCUGUGGAUCGACCUCGGGUGUCUUGCACGCCGAUCCUGGCACUGAAGGUCUAGGGCAUUCUGCCCGCAAUUUACUGCGACCUUCCUUAGAAAGUGGCUUGCGCAUCCUGUGCGCAAUAUAACGGGCAAUAUGCUCGGGUGGUUCCCACUCAGCCGAGCGGGGAUGACGCAGGUCAUCCGGGUCAAACGGAUGCACUGCGCCACCGCCCGCUCCCUGAGCAGCAACACCCUGGGCAGGAGCAGUGCCCCCAGUACGGGGUGCUACGGCAGGGGGAGAUCCCUCCUCCGAGCCGGCCUCAUCAUAAGAGGCAUAAUCCAUCUCCUCAGACUCAUCCCCCUCACUCCGGUCGCUCUCCGACCCUUCUUCACGGGAUCUAGCCGUUUCCAUUCUCUGGCCGUUUUUUGCCCGACCAGGGGCUCUUUUGCGCGGUGGUAGUGCGCCAUCUGUGACUGCCUGAGGCGAGUCCGUCAAGGCAGGUAUAACCUGCGUCAUGGAGUGGGAGGAGAGGAGUUUGCUCUUCACCACGGCCUUAUGGGCUAUAGGUGAGGCGGGGUUAGGGGCAGGACCCGCUCCCUGUAGGGUAGGGGUAGCCAGUUGGGGUAGUAACAAGGACUGAGCACAGGCGGCAACAGGUCCAAGGGCACACCGCAAGGCAAAAAAUUAAUAAAAGGACAAUAUAAUAAAUACAGAAAAAAAGGAAAAUAAAUACAGGCCCCUAGUAAGCCACUAGGGCUAGAGAGAACAGGGGCAAACAAGCAAAAAACAGCAUCAAAGUACACUAUAAUCACAGAGCAUGAAAAGUAUGUACUUAACUGGUCUGAGAGCAGCAAAGAAAGAGGGGGAUUGUGGGUGCAUCAAGCAUGUUAUAGUCACUUCCUGUGUUAUGUGAUUGGUUGCUUGAGCACUGUGUUUUUUUGUUCAUUUCAGUUAUUUAUUCAUCUCUAUUUCUUUGCUGCUGAGAGUAAUAAAGAAAGAGAUAUGCAUAAUAGGAGCCUCCGUGUCUUUAAUAAAAUCCACUGAAAUUUACCAUGGAUUCAAACUGGUCUUAGAUUAGCUACUAACCCUGUUAGUUUAUUAGUUUUCCUCUUGUGUCAAAUCAUGUUACUGGCUCUGUUUGUCAGGAGUCAACAGAUCCCUUGGGUAAGAGCACUGGUGUAGAAAGUUGGCACAUUUUAAUCCACAGGUGACAUAGUUAUGAUUUGAGUACUACACUUUCUUUUUGUAGAGAAUAUAUACACAUAUACACAUUUAUGCACAUAAUAACGCAAGUUGGAAUACAGUGCAAGAGUCCUUCUAUUUACACACAAAGAAUAAAACUAACCAAACUUUUCAAAAGGUGUUUUUCUGCCUUAUCCGUGUAAUAUGUACAACAUUCUAAGAAGUUCAAGCCAUAUUAUUGCAUUAGAUUUGUCUGUUAUUUCAGAACUUGGAACCUGGAGCCUUAAAAGGUUAUGCACGAACAUAAACCAAAUUAUCCAAGAUGUUUUAUUUAUUAAUUUGUUUAUGUAAGCAAAGAAACAAAUACAUAUUAUGGUAACUAG